UACGACCGUAUCCCGUUGAAAUACCGGUUCUCGUGCGAUCACCGAAGUUAUGCAAUGUCAAACCUGGUCACAACCUAGAUUGGUGACCGCUUGGGAAUACCAGGUGCUGUAAG